rnacentral:rRNA from 1 species
AUUGAACGCUGGCGGCAUGCUUUACACAUGCAAGUCGAACGGUAACAGGUCUUCGGAUGCUGACGAGUGGCGAACGGGUGAGUAAUGUAUCGGAACGUGCCCAGUAGUGGGGGAUAACUACUCGAAAGAGUGGCUAAUACCGCAUGAGAACUGAGGCUGAAAGUGGGGGACCGCAAGGCCUCACGCUACUGGAGCGGCCGAUAUCAGAUUAGGUAGUUGGGGGGGUAAAGGCCUACCAAGCCGGGGAUCCGUAGCUGGUCUGAGAGGACGACCAGCCGCGCUGGGACUGAGACACGGCCCAGACUCCUACGGGAGGCAGCAGUGGGGAAUUUUGGACAAUGGGCGCAAGCCUGAUCCAGCAAUGCCGCGUGCAGGACGAAGGCCUUCGGGUUGUAAACUGCUUUUGUACAGAACGAAAAAGCCUCUUCUAAUACAGGGGGUGCAUGACGGUACUGUAAGAAUAAGCACCGGCUAACUACGUGCCAGCCGCCGCCGUAA